rnacentral:rRNA from 1 species
GACAGAGGAUGCAAGCGUUAUCCGGAAUGAUUGGGCGUAAAGCGUCUGUAGGUGGCUUUUCAAGUCCGCCGUCAAAUCCCAGGGCUCAACCCUGGACAGGCGGUGGAAACUACCAAGCUGGAGUACGGUAGGGGCAGAGGGAAUUUCCGGUGGAGCGGUGAAAUGCGUAGAGAUCGGGAAGAACAUCGGUGGCGAAAGCGCUCUGCUGGACUGCAACUGACACUCAGGGACGAAAGCUAGGGGAGCGAAUGGG